CGCUAUUGAAAGGCGGCAAUCAAAAUAGAAAGAAAAUACAAGUGAAAUAAAGCAGAUAAAAAGUAGAGAAUUUAAUGUUUAUGUGUUUAUUGCUAUGUCCAAGCGCAAUAAUAUAACCUACGUGAAGCCACAGGAACCCAGUUUUUUGGCCAAACUCAAGGCGGAAAUUGGCUAUAAGGAAGGGCCGACCGUCGACACAAAGCGCCAGAAACUAGAAGACCUCGACCAGGACCAGGACCGGGAAGACUACGAUUCCAGUGAGGAACGGCCAGAGCGCGAGGACGAGAAGCCGCAAAUUGUUGUCCUAUCGCGUGGGGAUCUCACGGCUGACGAGGUGGCCCUCGAGCAGCAGCGCAUAGCAAAAGAGGAAGCUGAAAAGCCCGCGGAUUUAAAUCAACCUAUUGUCUUCAAGCAGCGCGUUAAACAGCCAAAAAUUGAGACGGAGGAUAAAACGGAUAAAACCAAAUCCAAGAAAUCAUCAGAUAAACGCAAAAAGUCCAAGGCCAGCAGCAGUAAUAGCAAAUUGUCAUUCAACGAGGACGAAGAGGACGCUGAAGCAGUCGAGGAUUAAACCACAUACACCCGUAAAGUCAUAGAUAGAGUUGUUAUCCAACGAUUCCCCCAAUUCGAGUUUGCCAUAUCCCACCAAGCUGCCCCUUUGUAUGGUUGCCCACAGUGAAUGGUUAGGCAACCUCAGAAGCAAUAACAAGGAGAGCAGCAAGCAGCAUCGACAUAUAUCGACCAAGAGGCACAUUCCAAUAACAAGAGAACAAAA